UAGGGAAUCUUCCGCAAUGGACGAAAGUCUGACGGAGCAACGCCGCGUGAGUGAUGAAGGUUUUCGGAUCGUAAAACUCUGUUCUUAGGGAAGAACAAAUGCGUAAGUAACUGUGCGCAUCUUGACGGUACCUAAUCAGAAAGCCACGGCUAACUACGUGCCAGCAGCCGCGGUAAUACGUAGGUGGCAAGCGUUAUCCGGAAUUAUUGGGCGUAAAGCGCGCGUAGGCGGUUUCUUAAGUCUGAUGUGAAAGCCCACGGCUCAACCGUGGAGGGUCAUUGGAAACUGGGAAACUUGAGUACAGAAGAGGAAAGUGGAAUUCCAUGUGUAGCGGUGAAAUGCGCAGAGAUAUGGAGGAACACCAGUGGCGAAGGCGACUUUCUGGUCUGUAACUGACGCUGAUGUGCGAAAGCGUGGGGAUCAAACA
rnacentral:rRNA from 1 species